AUGAGGCGAACCGGGGGAACUGAAACAUCUAAGUACCCCGAGGAAAAGAAAUCAACCGAGAUUCCCCCAGUAGCGGCGAGCGAACGGGGAGGAGCCCAGAGCCUGAAUCAGUGUGUGUGUUAGUGGAAGCGUCUGGAAAGGCGCGCGAUACAGGGUGACAGCCCCGUACACAAAAAUGCACAUGCUGUGAGCUCGAUGAGUAGGGCGGGACACGUGGUAUCCUGUCUGAAUAUGGGGGGACCAUCCUCCAAGGCUAAAUACUCCUGACUGACCGAUAGUGAACCAGUACCGUGAGGGAAAGGCGAAAAGAACCCCGGCGAGGGGAGUGAAAAAGAACCUGAAACCGUGUACGUACAAGCAGUGGGAGCACAGAGCAAUCUGUGUGACUGCGUACCUUUUGUAUAAUGGGUCAGCGACUUAUAUUCUGUAGCAAGGUUAACCGAAUAGGGGAGCCGAAGGGAAACCGAGUCUUAACUGGGCGUUAAGUUGCAGGGUAUAGACCCGAAACCCGGUGAUCUAGCCAUGGGCAGGUUGAAGGUUGGGUAACACUAACUGGAGGACCGAACCGACUAAUGUUGAAAAAUUAGCGGAUGACUUGUGGCUGGGGGUGAAAGGCCAAUCAAACCGGGAGAUAGCUGGUUCUCCCCGAAAGCUAUUUAGGUAGCGCCUCGUGAAUUCAUCUCCGGGGGUAGAGCACUGUUUCGGCAAGGGGGUCAUCCCGACUUACCAACCCGAUGCAAACUGCGAAUACCGGAGAAUGUUAUCACGGGAGACACACGGCGGGUGCUAACGUCCGUCGUGAAGAGGGAAACAACCCAGACCGCCAGCUAAGGUCCCAAAGUCAUGGUUAAGUGGGAAACGAUGUGGGAAGGCCCAGACAGCCAGGAUGUUGGCUUAGAAGCAGCCAUCAUUUAAAGAAAGCGUAAUAGCUCACUGGUCGAGUCGGCCUGCGCGGAAGAUGUAACGGGGCUAAACCAUGCACCGAAGCUGCGGCAGCGACACUGUGUGUUGUUGGGUAGGGGAGCGUUCUGUAAGCCUGUGAAGGUGUGCUGUGAGGCAUGCUGGAGGUAUCAGAAGUGCGAAUGCUGACAUAAGUAACGAUAAAGCGGGUGAAAAGCCCGCUCGCCGGAAGACCAAGGGUUCCUGUCCAACGUUAAUCGGGGCAGGGUGAGUCGACCCCUAAGGCGAGGCCGAAAGGCGUAGUCGAUGGGAAACAGGUUAAUAUUCCUGUACUUGGUGUUACUGCGAAGGGGGGACGGAGAAGGCUAUGUUGGCCGGGCGACGGUUGUCCCGGUUUAAGCGUGUAGGCUGGUUUUCCAGGCAAAUCCGGAAAAUCAAGGCUGAGGCGUGAUGACGAGGCACUACGGUGCUGAAGCAACAAAUGCCCUGCUUCCAGGAAAAGCCUCUAAGCAUCAGGUAACAUCAAAUCGUACCCCAAACCGACACAGGUGGUCAGGUAGAGAAUACCAAGGCGCUUGAGAGAACUCGGGUGAAGGAACUAGGCAAAAUGGUGCCGUAACUUCGGGAGAAGGCACGCUGAUAUGUAGGUGAAGUCCCUCGCGGAUGGAGCUGAAAUCAGUCGAAGAUACCAGCUGGCUGCAACUGUUUAUUAAAAACACAGCACUGUGCAAACACGAAAGUGGACGUAUACGGUGUGACGCCUGCCCGGUGCCGGAAGGUUAAUUGAUGGGGUCAGCGCAAGCGAAGCUCUUGAUCGAAGCCCCGGUAAACGGCGGCCGUAACUAUAACGGUCCUAAGGUAGCGAAAUUCCUUGUCGGGUAAGUUCCGACCUGCACGAAUGGCGUAAUGAUGGCCAGGCUGUCUCCACCCGAGACUCAGUGAAAUUGAACUCGCUGUGAAGAUGCAGUGUACCCGCGGCAAGACGGAAAGACCCCGUGAACCUUUACUAUAGCUUGACACUGAACAUUGAGCCUUGAUGUGUAGGAUAGGUGGGAGGCUUUGAAGUGUGGACGCCAGUCUGCAUGGAGCCGACCUUGAAAUACCACCCUUUAAUGUUUGAUGUUCUAACGUGGACCCGUGAUCCGGGUUGCGGACAGUGUCUGGUGGGUAGUUUGACUGGGGCGGUCUCCUCCUAAAGAGUAACGGAGGAGCACGAAGGUUGGCUAAUCCUGGUCGGACAUCAGGAGGUUAGUGCAAUGGCAUAAGCCAGCUUGACUGCGAGCGUGACGGCGCGAGCAGGUGCGAAAGCAGGUCAUAGUGAUCCGGUGGUUCUGAAUGGAAGGGCCAUCGCUCAACGGAUAAAAGGUACUCCGGGGAUAACAGGCUGAUACCGCCCAAGAGUUCAUAUCGACGGCGGUGUUUGGCACCUCGAUGUCGGCUCAUCACAUCCUGGGGCUGAAGUAGGUCCCAAGGGUAUGGCUGUUCGCCAUUUAAAGUGGUACGCGAGCUGGGUUUAGAACGUCGUGAGACAGUUCGGUCCCUAUCUGCCGUGGGCGCUGGAGAACUGAGGGGGGCUGCUCCUAGUACGAGAGGACCGGAGUGGACGCAUCACUGGUGUUCGGGUUGUCAUGCCAAUGGCACUGCCCGGUAGCUAAAUGCGGAAGAGAUAAGUGCUGAAAGCAUCUAAGCACGAAACUUGCCCCGAGAUGAGUUCUCCCUGACCCUUUAAGGGUCCUGAAGGAACGUUGAAGACGACGACGUUGAUAGGCCGGGUGUGUAAGCGCAGCGAUGCGUUGAGCUAACCGGUACUAAUGAACCGUGAGGCUUAACCUU
rnacentral:rRNA from 1 species